UGGGGUAAUCCUAUCCUCUUAGGCAGGGGAUAAUCAUUUGGAAAUCAAGUGCUAAUACCGUAUAAUACCAACAACCGCAUGGUUGUUGGUUGAAAGAUGGUUCUGCUAUCAUCUAAGAGAUGGAUCCCGCGGUGCAUUAGCUAGUUGGUAAGGUAACGGCUUACCAAGGCAAUGAUGCAUAGCCGAGUUGAGAGACUGAUCGGCCACAAUGGGACUGAGACACGGCCCAUACUCCUACGGGAGGCAGCAGUAGGGAAUCUUCCACAAUGGGCGCAAGCCUGAUGGAGCAACGCCGCGUGUGUGAUGAAGGGUUUCGGCUYGUAAAACACUGUUAUAAGAGAAGAACGGCACUGAGGGUAACUGUUCAGUGUGUGACGGUAUCUUACCAGAAAGGAACGGCUAAAUACGUGCCAGCAGCCGCGGUAAUACGUAUGUUCCAAGCGUUAUCCGGAUUUAUUGGGCGUAAAGCGAGCGCAGACGGUUAUUUAAGUCUGAAGUGAAAGCCCUCAGCUCAACUGAGGAAUGGCUUUGGAAACUGGAUGACUUGAGUGCAGUAGAGGAAAGUGGAACUCCAUGUGUAGCGGUGAAAUGCGUAGAUAUAUGGAAGAACACCAGUGGCGAAGGCGGCUUUCUGGACUGUAACUGACGUUGAGGCUCGAAAGUGUGGGUAGCAAACAGGAUUAGAUACCCUGGUAGUCCACACCGUAAACGAU
rnacentral:rRNA from 1 species